rnacentral:rRNA from 1 species
GAAGCUCAUGGAGAGUUUGAUCUGGCUCAGGAUGAACGCUGGCGGCAUGCUUUACACAUGCAAGUCGGACGGGAAGUGGUGUUUCCAGUGGCGAACGGGUGAGUAACGCGUAAGAACCUGCCCUUGGGAGGGGGACAACAGCUGGAAACGGCUGCUAAUACCCCGUAGGCUGAGGAGCGAAAGGAGGAAUCCGCCCAAGGAGGCGCUCGCGUCUGAUU